AAAUAGAUCAAAUUUGAUAUUUUGUUAAAAAGUGAUCAGUCCGAUAAAGUAUUUUUACUUUAUAGCCAUUUCUUAAUUUAGAAGGGAGUUUUGGAGUAACUGGUAAAGUUGCAGCCAUGUGACCAGGAGGUCACGAAUUCAAGCCUUGGAAACAGCCUCUGGCAGAAAUGCAAGUUCAAAUUUGAUACUGUGGACUUUACGUGGAACUUAAGAUGUCAAGAACACCAACCAAUCCCGGAAGAAUAUUUUGGGGUUGUCAAAAAUAUCAGGUUGGUAGUAAUUGUGGAUUCUUUCGAUGGGCCGAUGAAAAUGAAUAAUAUAAAGGUAGACAUCGAAGGCAACGAAGACAACAAGGACUGGAAAGAUAUGAAAGGCACGGAAGACUUAAAAGACCAAGUAUUAGUAUUGACAUCAUUGUUAUCAUUAUUGUUGUCAUAUGGAUUCUAUCUGUUGUAUUAUUUAAGAUGGCUUGAUCUAUGUAGUUGGUAUGUACAAUGAAAUGAAAUUAAAAUUUAAUGACAAACACCAUUGCCAA